rnacentral:siRNA from 1 species
CCUGUUGCCAAAGGGCCUAGCAGC